CCUGGAGAGAGCUGAGUUCAGAGCAGAGUGUUCUGAUCGUCCAGGAGCUGGGUGUGUUGUGUUUCUCUCCUUAUUCCAGCUCGCCAGCCUCUAAGCAGCAGUGGGAUGGAGGAAGUUACAGUAUCCAUCUACAAAAAGGGAACCAUCAUUCUAAGCUUUCCCACCUGCAGCCUUUGCUGUGAGGCUGUGUUGAGUCAAGGCCUCUGAAACUGCUCCGGAAACUAAGUCACUCUUCAAAUGCCAGGUGCUCACAGUUCUCUACGAACUACGAAGACACGUCUAAAUUUUCCAGCAAAAAUUUCAACGCCUUUUAGAGUUAGGCCCGCCUUUCCUGAUCAUCUGCAGCUGCUUCACCAACAGAGCCUCUGUGUCGGCCAGUCCGCUUCCUUCAUUGUCCUUGAAAUAUGCCACGUGCAUUCAUUCACUCCAAAAUGUUCAUUGAGAUGAAGACUGAAACCCUAUAAUGAGAACCUUCUGUCUCCUGGGCCCAGUUCUAGAUGCUCAGGAUAAAAUGAUGAGAAAAUGAGACACAGUUCCUGCCCCACUAGAAUGGACAGAAUGAGGAGGAAGCCAACAUCAAGGAAGCAAAAAUUGCAAAUUGUGAGAAGCUCUGUGAAAGAAGAGAAUGGCUUUAUGAGAGACUGUGUGGGGGUUUCUUAGCCUGCUCCCC
rnacentral:lncRNA from 1 species